rnacentral:rRNA from 1 species
CCUACGGGUGGCAGCAGUGGGGAAUAUUGCACAAUGGGGGAAACCCUGAUGCAGCGACGCCGCGUGAGUGAAGAAGUAUUUCGGUAUGUAAAGCUCUAUCAGCAGGAACGAGACAAGACGGUACCUGACUAAGAAGCGCCGGCUAACUAGGUGCCAGCAGCCGCGGUAAUACGUAGGGGGCAAGCGUUAUCCGGGUUGACGGGGGGGAAGGGGGGCGCAGACGGCAGCGCAAGCAAGGAGUGAAAGCCCGGGGCCCAACCCCGGGACUGCUCGUGGAACUGCUGGGUUGGAGUGCAGGAGGGGCAGGCGGAAUUCCUGGUGUAGCGGUGGAAUGCGUAGAUAUCAGGAGGAACACCGGUGGCGAAGGCGGCCUGCUGGACUGCGACUGACGUUGAGGCCCGAAAGCGUGGGGAGCAAACAGGAUUAGAUACCCGAGUAGUC